rnacentral:rRNA from 1 species
GAUGAACGCUGGCGGCGUGCCUAAUACAUGCAAGUCGAGCGAACGGACGAGAAGCUUGCUUUUCUGAUGUUAGCGGCGGACGGGUGAGUAACACGUGGAUAACCUACCUAUAAGACUGGGAUAACUUCGGGAAACCGGAGCUAAUACCGGAUAAUAUUUUGAACCGCAUGGUUCAAAAGUGAAAGACGGUCUUGCUGUCACUUAUAGAUGGAUCCGCGCUGCAUUAGCUAGUUGGUAAGGUAACGGCUUACCGAGGCAACGAUGCAUAGCCGACCGGAGAGGGUAAUCGCCCACACUGGAACUGAGACACGGUCCAGACUCCUACGGGAGGCAGCAGUAGGGAAUCUUCCGCAAUGGGCGAAAGCCUGACGGAGCAACGCCGCGUGAGUGAUGCAGGUCUUCGGAUCGUAAAACUCUGUUAUUAGGGAAGAACAUAUGUGUAAGUAACUGUGCACAGCUUGACGGUACCUAAUCAGAAAGCCACGGCUAACUACGUG